rnacentral:rRNA from 1 species
GAGACAGGUGCUGCAUGGCUGUCGUCAGCUCGUGUUGUGAAAUGUUGGGUUAAGUCCCGCAACGAGCGCAACCCUUAUCCUUGUUUGCCAGCGAGUAAUGUCGGGAACUCCAGGGAGACUGCCGGUGAUAAACCGGAGGAAGGUGGGGACGACGUCAAGUCAUCAUGGCCCUUACGAGUAGGGCUACACACGUGCUACAAUGGCGCAUACAGAGGGCGGCCAACUUGCGAAAGUGAGCGAAUCCCAAAAAGUGCGUCGUAGUCCGGAUUGGAGUCUGCAACUCGACUCCAUGAAGUCGGAAUCGCUAGUAAUCGUAGAUCAGAAUGCUACGGUGAAUACGUUCCCGGGCCUUGUACACACCGCCCGUCACACCAUGGGAGUGGGCUGCAAAAGAAGUGGGUAGUUUAACCUUCGGGGGGACGCUCACCACUUUGUGGUUCAUGACUGGGGUGAAGUCGUAACAAGGUAGCGCUAGGGGAACCUGGCGCUGGAUCACCUCCUUAUACGAUGAU